rnacentral:rRNA from 1 species
GACGAACGCUGGCGGCGUGCUUAACACAUGCAAGUCGAACGGAAAGGCUCCAGCUUGCUGGAGUACUCGAGUGGCGAACGGGUGAGUAACACGUGGGUGAUCUGCCCUGCACUUCGGGAUAAGCCUGGGAAACUGGGUCUAAAACCGGAUAGGACCGCACUUUGGUGUGUGUGGUGGAAAGGUUUUUCUGGUGUGGGAUGAGCUCGCGGCCUAUCAGUUUGUUGGUGGGGUAAUGGCCUACCAAGACGGCGACGGGUAGCCGGCCUGAGAGGGUGGACGGUCACAUUGGGACUGAGAUACGGCCCAGACUCCUACGGGAGGCAGCAGUGGGGAAUAUUGCACAAUGGGGGAAACCCUGAUGCAGCGACGCCGCGUGGGGGAUGAAGGCCUUCGGGUUGUAAACUCCUUUCGCUAGGGACGAAGCUUUUUGUGACGGUACCUGGAGAAGAAGCACCGGCUAACUACGUG